GUCUUAAAUGAAAAGGCUAACACUAAUAUAUGAGAGAAGAGCAAACUUCUAGGGGAGAUUCUGGAGAGGGGGGGUGAAAGGAAAGAUAGUGGAGAGGCACCUGGGUCUGAAACCAGAUCCUGUGGACAGCCUUUCAGAUCUAUCACUUCUAAGCUGUGUGACUUUGGGUCAGAAUUUCCUCCUUCCCCUGGUCACUUUGCCCUCUUCUAUAAAACCAGAGAGAGCAUCAGCUCCCAAUAUCCCUGCCAGCUUCAAGAGUCCUUGACUCACCCACUCCAUCUACUGGUGAAGAACCUUUGCAAGAUUGAAUGUGGAGACAGCAUAAAUGUGCAGCCUUUGUUGAAGAGCUGGGUUUGUGUUUGGGGAGAGGCCAUGAAAAGGGGACUUUUGCAGAAGCUACUUCCAAAAGGUUGAGACAGUGCAGAAAGUAAUCUUCAAAUUAGCCAGUGUGGUGCAGUAGAAUGCAUGCUAGAUUUCAAGUCAGAAGACCUGGGUUCAAGACCCUACCUCUGCUGCUUUCUGUCUGAGUGACCUUAGGUAAGUUACUUCACUGUUCUUGAGUCUCAGUUUCCUCAUCCAUAAAAUUGAGGUGAACCGGAUGAUCUCUGCAGUCCCUUCUAGCUCUGGAUGUAUGUUACUAUAGUUAUCUAUAAUAUGAUUCUUUUGAUUCUAUGUCUACAGUCCUAUGGACUUAACUCCAGCCCUAUCCUCAUGGUGCUAUAUCUAAUAGCAUCUUGUACAUUGGUUCAAAGUUGAUCAUGCUCCUUCUCCACUCCUAAAGAAUAGGGGUCUUAUCCUUUUCUUUAUAUCUCUGUCUUCUUCUUUCCUCCCCUUUUUAGGGCUCUACAUGAAAUUACGUCUUGUUUAGUCAUUUCAGUCAUGUUUGAUUCCUCAUGACCUCAACUGGAAUAUUCUUGGCAAAGAUGCCAGAAUGAUUUACCAUUCCUUCUUUGGCUCAUUUUACAGAUGAGGAAACUAAGGCAAAUGGGGUUAAAUGACUUGCCUAUUAUCAUAUAGUUAGUAUCUGAGACUGGAUUUGAAUUCAGGUCUUCUACUGUACCCCUAACUGUUUCCCCUCACUACCACCCGCACACAAAUCUAUCAGUUGCUUGCCAGAAAGGGGUUGAUUUUUAUUUACUUUGCUCAAAAGAACUAGGGGAGGGAGACAUUUUCUUCCAAUUGGUUUGUAUAAAUAUCGGCUUUUUGUAAAUACCAAGAGCAGAGGGCUCUUGAAAUUCAGCCUUCAAGCAUGGCAGGAUAGGACAAAUAGCAUCUAAAAAAAGAGUUUUGCCUUCACAGUCCUAAAGGAAACUAAUAAUCUUUGAACCCCCAAACUGGGCACGACCUUGGGGAAUCCUAGUAAAGAGUCUAACCUUUGGCUGUAGCCUCACCAAAUUUCAUUAAAUUCCUGAGC
rnacentral:lncRNA from 1 species